rnacentral:rRNA from 1 species
UACGGGGGGAGCAAGCGUUGUUCGGAUUUACUGGGCGUAAAGGGCGCGUAGGCGGCCACCGCAAGUCGGUUGUGAAAUCUCUGGGCUUAACCCAGAAAGGUCAACCGAUACUGCGGGGCUAGAGUGCAGAAGGGGCAACUGGAAUUCUCGGUGUAGCGGUGAAAUGCGUAGAUAUCAAGAGGAACACCUGCGGCGAAGGCGGGUUGCUGGGCUGACACUGACGCUGAAGUGCGAAAGCCAGGGGAGCGAACGGG